rnacentral:tRNA from 1 species
UAAGAUGUAGCUCAGUGGUAGAGCAUGCGCUUCACAUGUGUGAGAUCCUGGGUUCAAUCCCCGGCAUCUCCA